GUUGAACGCUGGCGGCGUGCCUAAUACAUGCAAGUCGAGCGAACGGACGAGACGCUUGCUUCUCUGCUGUUAGCGACGGACGGGUGAGUAACACGUAGAUAACCUACCUAUAAGACUGGGAUAACUUAGGGAAACCGGAGCUAAUACCGGAUAAUAUUUUGAACCGCAUGGUUCAACAGUGAAAGACGGUCUUGCUGUCACUUAUAGGUGGAUCCGCGCUGCAUUAGCUAGUUGGUAAGGUAACGGCUUACCAAGGCAACGAUGCAUAGCCGACCUGAGAGGUUGAUCGGCCAACCGGGAACUGGGACCGGGUCCAGCUUCCAACGGGAGGCAGCGGGGGGGAAAUUGCAGCAAUGGGCGAAGGCCUGACGGAGCAAGGCCGCGGGGGGGAUAAAGGGCUUCGGAUCGUAAAACCUUGUUAUUAGGGAAGAACAUAUGUGGAAGAAACUGUGCUGUUCUGGACGGUACCUAAGCAGAAAGCCACGGCUAACUACGU
rnacentral:rRNA from 1 species